rnacentral:rRNA from 1 species
GACAGAGGGUGCAAACGUUGCUCGGAAUUACUGGGCGUAAAGCGCGUGUAGGUGGAUUGGUGUGUCAGAUGUGAAAUCCCUGGGCUCAACCCAGGAACUGCACCUGAAACUACCAGUCUUGAGUGGUGGGGAGGGAAGUGGAAUUCCUGGUGUAGAGGUGAAAUUCGUAGAUAUCAGGAGGAACACCAGUGGCGAAGGCGGCUUCCUGGACACCAACUGACGCUGAGACGCGAAAGCGUGGGGAGCAAACAGG